CUGCUGAAUACUCUGCCCCACCGGCUCCUACACUGACCCAGACAGCCACCAGAGGCUCAUCUGUGAAGUUGUUGUGUCAGGCUCCAGAAGGUUAUGGUGGACUUGUAUUUAAACUUUUCAAAAUGCGCCAACAGAUAGAUAAGGUUGAGAAUUCAACCAAACAGAAAAGGGCUUUCUUUAUUCUUAGGGGAAAAGAUACAGAAAAAGAGAAUCUGUAUUGCUGUCAGUAUGACAGCAGCAUGAUCAGUUCCUAUUUGCAGCCAGAGCAGAAAGUCGGUCCCCCUCCAUCCCCUGAACUGGUGGUCGAGCCCUCUAGUGGGAAUGUUAGUCCUGGUGAAACACUGUCAUUCCACUGUCAGGCUCCACCUGACCGUCAGAAACCGUCUCCUGAGGCUUUUCUCUUGCUCCGGAGAGCCAAAGGAACCCCGGGCUCCAUGGUUGCUCCAGCCCAGCUGGUGUCUCAGUCCCAUGAAGCUUACUUCAGUGUGAAGGCAAAGGGACGGGAGGACGGUGGGGACUAUGUCUGCCUCUACCACAUUUAUUCUAAAAACACUAAAUGCUCAUAACUUUCAUUCUUCUUCUUGCCGUAUUCUCAGUCGGUCCCCCUCCAUCCCCUGAACUGGUGGUCGAGCCCUCUAGUGGGAAUGUUAGUCCUGGUGAAACACUGUCAUUCCACUGUCAGGCUCCACCUGACCGUCAGAAACCGUCUCCUGAGGCUUUUCUCUUGCUCCGGAGAGCCAAAGGAACCCCGGGCUCCAUGGUUGCUCCAGCCCAGCUGGUGUCUCAGUCCCAUGAAGCUUACUUCAGUGUGAAGGCAAAGGGACGGGAGGACGGUGGGGACUAUGUCUGCCUCUACCAACUCAAAUCACAGAAGACGGGACAGGUGAACUCCACAGCCAGUCAGCCGGUGCACAUUACUGUCAUAGAGCUCCCAGUCCCCACUCUGUCCUUGUCCCGAAGCGAGGGUGAAUUUCUGGAGUGUGUUGGGUCACCCUCAUAUCCUCAAGGCUACUUCAGUUUAUUUCGUGUCGGUGUCCUGUCACCUGAGGCAACCCAUCAGGCGUCCCUGAUCCAACACAGUGCUAGAUUUCCCAUACCCAUCCGUUAUGAACAUGGUGCACAGUAUCAGUGUCAGUACAGCGUGUCAUUGGGCAACACCAAGGCGUACUCUAAAAUGAGCUCACCAAUUACUAUCCCAUGCAUUACAGGAUAUCAUCUAUGCACAUCGAGCUCUACAGGCAGCACAGACCUGGCUCUGAUUGUUGGCUCUGUGUCUGCGGGUGUUCUGUUUCUCAUGGUGGUGGCAAUCUUGGGCUUUGCCGUGCACAGACAUCUCAAAAACAUGUCAGAGAGAAGGAGACAAAGAGAUCAAGAAAAAUUCUGGCAAAAUGUGCACUCCAGAGAUCAUAUUGUUGAUCUCACUCUGCAGCGUGUUGACAUUGGAACUGAGGAAAAUGGACAAAUGCUUAGAGGAAGACCCUCAUUUUCAGAGCCCAUCUACGAUUAUCCCAUGGCAACCUUUAAGAACGCCUCAGUUUUCUGA
rnacentral:lncRNA from 1 species